AUUACCCAAUACGGACACGGGGAGGUAGUGACAAGAAAUAACAAUACGGGGCUUAAUGUCUUGUAAUUGGAAUGAUGGGAAUUUAAACCUCUUCCAGAGUAUCAAUUGGAGGGCAAGUCUGGUGCCAGCAGCCGCGGUAAUUCCAGCUCCAAUAGCGUAUAUUAAAAUUGUUGCAGUUAAAAAGCUCGUAGUUGAAUUUCUGCUGCAUCGUCGCAUCUCUUGCUGAGUGCUUCGUUUCGGCUUAUUUCGGAUUGAUUUUUUCUUUCCGGAUGAUUACUUUGAGAAAAUUAGAGUGCUCAAAGCAGGCUUUUGCCUUGAAUAGUUUAGCAUGGAAUAAUAAAGUAGGACUUUGGUUCUAUUUUGUUGGUUUUAGGUACCAAAGUAAUGGUUAAUAGGAACAGUUGGGGGCAUUCGUAUUUAA
rnacentral:rRNA from 1 species